rfam:Ovis aries breed Texel chromosome 3, whole genome shotgun sequence.
UCCUUGGUGGUCCAGUGGCUGAGACACUGAACUUCCAAUUCAGAGGGCAUGGGUUCAAUUCCUGAUUGGGGAA